CCUUACCAUGCAGUCGAACGCGAAAGCGGAGCAAUCCGCAAGUAGAGUGGCGAACGGGUGAGUAAUACAUCGGAACAUUUCCAGUAGCGGGGGAUAACCUGUCGAAAGAUAGGCUAAUACCGCAUACGCCCCACGGGGGAAAGCGGAGGACCGCAAGGCUUCGCACUAUUGGAGUGGCCGAUGUCGGAUUAGCUAGUUGGCGGGGUAAAAGCCCACCAAGGCUACGAUCCGUAGCUGGUCUGAGAGGACGAUCAGCCACACUGGAACUGAGACACGGUCCAGACUCCUACGGGAGGCAGCAGUGGGGAAUUUUGGACAAUGGGCGCAAGCCUGAUCCAGCCAUGCCGCGUGAGUGAAGAAGGCCUUCGGGUUGUAAAGCUCUUUCGGCGGGGACGAAAAGGUCCGUGCUAAUACCACGGACUAAUGACGGUACCCGAAGAAGAAGCACCGGCUAACUACGUGCCAGCAGCCGCGGUAAUACGUAGGGUGCAGGCGUUAAUCGGAAUUACUGGGCGUAAAGCGUGCGCAGGCGGUUUGUUAAGACAGAUGUGAAAUCCCCGGGCUUAACCUGGGAACUGCGUUUGUAACUGGCAAGCUAGAGUGUGGCAGAGGGGGGUGGAAUUCCAAGUGUAGCAGUGAAAUGCGUAGAUAUUUGGAGGAACACCGAUGGCGAAGGCAGCCCCCUGGGCUAACACUGACGCUCAUGCACGAAAGCGUGGGGAGCAAACAGGAUUAGAUACCCUGGUAGUCCACGCCCUAAACUAUGUCAACUGGUUGUCGGAGGAGCAAUCCUUUGGUAACGAAGCUAACGCGUGAAGUUGACCGCCUGGGGAGUACGGCCGCAAGGUUAAAACUCAAAGGAAUUGACGGGGACCCGCACAAGCGGUGGAUUAUGUGGAUU
rnacentral:rRNA from 1 species